rfam:Negativicoccus succinicivorans DORA_17_25 Q612_NSC00122, whole genome shotgun sequence.
AAAAUCCUGAGGCAUACGAAUGGUGACCUUUAAAUUCAACCGACAAUUAUUAUACGGGAGAUCGAAGUUAGGUAGUGGAGUGAUUACAUCUUGUAUUUAUAUGAGAAAUUGGAAACUAUCUACAGAUCACCCACCUGGGAGAACUCUCGGGACUGAAUUUAUGGGCCCAACGGUGUUUUGGGAUUUUG